UCAUAAUAAUAGUUUCCUUUCCCCUUUUUCUCUCCCCCCUCCGGCCUGUUCCCCCGACCGUCAGCGUAAAGCGUAGCCGAGAUCCCGUCUCCGAUCGGCGAGUUCCGCCGGCCGGAAGCCAUGAUGCGGGCGGUGAUAGAGAUGAGCACCCAGGGCAAGCCUCGCCUGGUCAGGUGCUACGACUUCCAGUAACGAGGCGCUUCUGGUGAAGACCACAGGGAGGCACCAAAGGAAACAGAGAAGAGCAGCUUAUAGAAGGAGGACAGUGUAGUUCUACUCGGUUUUGAUUGCAAAGAACCGAGGGGGAAUGAUUGUUCUGUUUGAUGGAAAAGAAAAGCCUCGAUUCUGUAUUUGUUUGUCUUGUUGAAAAAUUUGAUGAUUUAAAGAAGGAAAAAAAGUCAUGAUUAUGCUCUAGAAAA